AUUGAACGCUGGCGGCAGGCCUAACACAUGCAAGUCGAACGAGUGGCGGAUGGGUGAGUAAUGUCUGGGGACUGCCCGAUAGAGGGGGAUAACAACUGGAAACGGUACCUAAUACCGCAUACUAUCGGAUAACCCAUAUGGGCUUAGCUAGUAGGUGAGGUAAUGGCUCACCUAGGCGACGAUCCCUACCUGGUAUGGGAGGAUGAUCAGCCGCACUGGGACGGGGACACGGCCCAGACGCCUGCGGAGGGAUCAGUGGGGAAUAUUGCACAAUGGGGGCAAGCCUGAUGCAACCAUGCAGCGUGUGUGGAGAAGACCUUCGGUUUGUAAAGCACUUUCAGCGAGUAGGCGUUACUCGCAGAAGAAGCACCGGCUAACUCCGUGCCAGCAGCCGCGGUAAUAC
rnacentral:rRNA from 1 species